CUUGAAAUACCACCCUUUAAUGUUUGAUGUUCUAACGUGGACCCGUGAUCCGGGUUGCGGACAGUGUCUGGUGGGUAGUUUGACUGGGGCGGUCUCCUCCUAAAGAGUAACGGAGGAGCACGAAGGUUGGCUAAUCCUGGUCGGACAUCAGGAGGUUAGUGCAAUGGCAUAAGCCAGCUUGACUGCGAGCGUGACGGCGCGAGCAGGUGCGAAAGCAGGUCAUAGUGAUCCGGUGGUUCUGAAUGGAAGGGCCAUCGCUCAACGGAUAAAAGGUACUCCGGGGAUAACAGGCUGAUACCGCCCAAGAGUUCAUAUCGACGGCGGUGUUUGGCACCUCGAUGUCGGCUCAUCACAUCCUGGGGCUGAAGUAGGUCCCAAGGGUAUGGCUGUUCGCCAUUUAAAGUGGUACGCGAGCUGGGUUUAGAACGUCGUGAGACAGUUCGGUCCCUAUCUGCCGUGGGCGCUGGAGAACUGAGGGGGGCUGCUCCUAGUACGAGAGGACCGGAGUGGACGCAUCACUGGUGUUCGGGUUGUCAUGCCAAUGGCACUGCCCGGUAGCUAAAUGCGGAAGAGAUAAGUGCUGAAAGCAUCUAAGCACGAAACUUGCCCCGA
rnacentral:rRNA from 2 species